rnacentral:tRNA from 1 species
UCAAACAACUCCUUCUAUUUCAGUAACAAUGAAAUCGCCUCAAGCUUAUUAUUCA